GUUUCUUUAUUCCAAAAAUUUUAAUUUAUUAAGUUUUUAAUUUUAUAAUGAGUCACUUUUGAGGCUAUUUAGUAAUAUGCAUGUAAAAAUAUAAAUGCUAGAAUAUUCUAACUUAUUUACAUAUAUUUAGAUUUUUUUGGAAAAGGUCCCUGGAACCUUGAAAUAUGAUAAUACUUCACUUGACUUACCAAGCCAUCCAGCACAAGCAUGGCUAUAUAAUGAGAAAGAAAAUUUGUUUUCAUCAGAACACACACAGUUACAUAGCAGAUCAGAAAAUAGAACGUUAUCCUGGACACCUGAAUCAAAGAUCAGUAGAAAGAGUUUGCUAAAAUCUGAAAAAGAAGAAAAAAUCUCAGAAGAAUGGUAUGUGGUCUAUUUUACCCUAAAAACAAUAAGAAGUUAAAAGACAUAAAUAUACAAGGCAUAUAUUUUUCAAGAUUCAAGAAUGCUUUUCUUUUAGUUUUUAAGAAACUAAGCAUCUGGUUAAAUUACAACUUUAAUGCACUAAAUACAAAUUUAUUUUGGUAUGAUAUAAUUCACAUGUGUAUUUAUAUAUAUACAUAACUGAAUAUGGUCUGUAUUUUUGCCUUUAUUAAAUUUAUCUUUUAAUAGGGGUUUUAAGGAUAUUUCUACUGCUCAGCAAAUGCUGAAGAGGGCACAGAAAAUGAAAUCAAAGACAUUAAAGAAAAAGUUAGAUCCUACUGUGCGUCUAGCGUUAUUCAAAAACAGUGAAAAUAAAGUUUCUCUUACAAAAUCACCAAAGAAGUCACGUCCCAUAAGAGAUGGUCACUCUGAAGGUAAGGAAGAUGACUUAAUCUACAAAGACACCUCUGCCAAUGAAAAAUUGGAACAGAGUACAGCAUAUACAUACGAGUGGCUUCACACACAGGUUGGGGUUCAUGAAACAACUAGUUCCAGAAAUAUGAAAAGCAAUCACUUCUUGCCUGAGUUAGAUCCAGAUGUACUUAAUGGUAGAAGAGUUCAACUUGUGGCAAGACAUGUAAGCAGAGAAGACACGGAUUUAGACCUUUUUUCCAUGACCAGUGGAAGUACUUUGUCUGUGAACAGAGAAAAAAAGAGUCAGGCACAUAGCAGACACUCAGCGGGAUCUUCAAGUUGGUCAAUUAAGGGAAUACCUAUGAUAACAAAUACAAGAUCUCCUAAAAAAGAACGUAUAUCAUUCCGUGACAAUCCUCUACAGCUCAGUGGUGGAUGGGGAAGUGGCAGAAAGAAGGCAAAAAAUUCCAACUAGUCCUGCAAACUUCAGCAUUCAAAACAUAUGGCAAACGGUUUAUUUAAAAGAAGUCUGUGGAUAUCUGGUCAUGUUACCAAUUGGAUACAAGGUUUUAGAGUACUGUAUUUAAUUUAUUUUAUUAUACAUAUUUCUCAAUUUUGUUUUUCUGGUGCAGUUAUCUUAUUUCCCAUCUAUAAAACAAAGUUUGCAAUUCUUCCUGUUUUCAUGUGGAAUGGCCGCCAGAAAACUCGUUCUUGAAAUAUUGCAUUGGAAUUUGUAUAUGCAGUUUCUUCUUUUGCUUACAUUUUUAUGAUGUAUUAUUCAAGAUGGCUUUUGUUACCGCUUUUACUUUUUAAUACCAUAUAUAUCUACAAGAGACUAUAACUAUUUUAUUGGUAUUAUUUAAUGUAGUAUUAAUAAUCAAAUAAUUAAUAUAUUAAUAACCUUGAAUCAACCAGAUUAUUAUAAAUGGGCAUUUAAAAAAUGAAUUAAUGGAUAAGGUGAUUCAAAAUAUACAACAAAACUGGGCUCUUUUUAAAAUUUUAAGCUAUCUUAGUGAAUUAUAGAAAAGUGAAUAGUUUAUGUCAAAAUAAAAUGUAAAUUUAAAUAAUUAUUUAUGUAAUAAAUAUUUCCAUGUAAGUUUCACUCAGGCAUUGUCUAUUAUUCUUGCAAAUUAUAAUAUGGAAUGUUAAUUCUGGUUCAUUAACAUUAUUCUACUCUCUGAAAAUAUACUAUCAUUUGU
rnacentral:lncRNA from 1 species